GACGAACGCUGGCGGCGUGCUUAACACAUGCAAGUCGAACGGUGAAGCGCCUUCCUUUUUGGUUGGUGUGGAUGAGUGGCGAACGGGUGAGUAACACGUGAGUAACCUGCCCCCUUCUUCUGGAUAACCGCAUGAAAGUGUGGCUAAUACGGGAUAUUCUGGGUCUGUCGCAUGAUGGGUCUGGGAAAGAUAUUGUUUCGGUGGGGGAUGGGCUCGCGGCCUAUCAGCUUGUUGGUGGGGUGAUGGCCUACCAAGGCGGUGACGGGUAGCCGGCCUGAGAGGGUGGACGGUCACACUGGGACUGAGACACGGCCCAGACUCCUACGGGAGGCAGCAGUGGGGAAUAUUGCACAAUGGGCGCAAGCAUGAUGCAGCGACGCCGCGUGAGGGAUGGAGGCCUUCGGGUUGUGAACCUCUUUCGCCAGUGAAGCAGGCCUGCCUCGUUUGUGGGUGGGUUGACGGUAGCUGGAUAAGAAGCGCCGGCUAACUACGUG
rnacentral:rRNA from 1 species